rnacentral:rRNA from 1 species
UAUACGGUAGAGAUUCCGUAGCCUCCAAAAGAUUUAAGCACGAGGACACUUUUGAAGCGAUUAUCCAGUAGUUGGUAUCUGGUCGUAAGGGACCGCAUUAAGCGGGAAGUAAUCGUGGACGAAGGCGAGAAAAGUCGUGUGUAUAUCUGAGGAGCCCGUACCGCAAACCGACACAGGUAGAUAGGAAGAGAAUUCUAAGGCCAACGGGAGAAGGGUUGUUAAGGAACUCGGCAAGUUGACCCCGUAACUUCGGAAUAAGGGGUGCUUGUUAAUAGCAAGCCGCAGAGAAUAGGUCCAAGCGACUGUUUAGCAAAAACACAGCUCUAUGCUAAAUCGAAAGAUGACGUAUAUGGGGUGACACCUGCCCGGUGCUGGAAGGUUAAGAGGAGGAGUGAGAGCUCUGAAUUGAAGCCCCAGUAAACGGCGGCCGUAACUAUAACGGUCCUAAGGUAGCGAAAUUCCUUGUCAGGUAAGUUCUGACCCGCACGAAUGGUGUAACGAUUUGGACACUGUCUCAACAGCCCGCCCGGCGAAAUUGUAGUACCGGUGAAGAUGCCGGUUACCCGCGACUAGACGGAAAGACCCCAUGGAGCUUCACUGUAGCUUAAUAUUGGAUUUCGGUAUUUCAUGUACAGGAUAGGUGGGAGACUAGGAAGUAUAGGCGUCAGCUUAUAUGGAGUCACUGUUGGGAUACCACUCUUGAAGUGCUGAAAUUCUAACCUGCGACCAUGAAUCUGGUCGGGGGGCAGUGUUAGGUGGGCAGUUUGACUGGGGCGGUCGCCUCCUAAAGAGUAACGGAGGCGCUCAAAGGUUCGCUCAGCACGGACGGAAACCGUGCUUUUGAGUGUAAACGCAUAAGCGAGCCUAACUGCGAGACUGACGGGUCGAGCAGUAACGAAAGUUGGAGUUAGUGAUCCGGUGGUAUGUGAGUGGAAAUGCCAUCGCUCAACGGAUAAAAGCUACCCUGGGGAUAACAGGCUGAUCUCCCCCAAGAGUCCACAUCGACGGGGAGGUUUGGCACCUCGAUGUCGGCUCAUCGCAUCCUGGGGCUGAAUUCGGUCCCAAGGGUUUGGCUGUUCGCCAAUUAAAGCGGUACGCGAGCUGGGUUCAGAACGUCGUGAGACAGUUCGGUCCCUAUCUGUCGUGGGCGUAAGAUAUUUGAAAGGAGCUGUCCCUAGUACGUGAGGACCGGGAUGGACGCACCUCUGGUGCACCAGUUGUUACGCCAGUGGCACAGCUGGGCAGCUAAGUGCGGAUCGGAUAAACGCUGAAGGCAUCUAAGCGUGAAGCCGUCCUUAAGAUAAGAUAUCUGUUAAGACCCCUUGAAGACUACAAGGUUGAUAGGCUCAAAGUGUAAGUGUGGUGACAUAUUUAGCUAGCGAGUACUAAUCGGUCGUACGUUUCUCC